UGCUGCGUUGAAUAUUUCAUUCCAGCUAAGCGUUAACCACAAGCAGGGUGCUACAGUGGGACUUCAGAGGUGUUUGCCUAUGCUAAUCUUAUACCUGGGUCUUGCCCUGACAUAUCUGCUUAUGCUAAUCUUGGACCAAGGACUUGUCUAGACAUGUUUGCCAAAGUGAAGCUAGCGUAACCCCUGUCUACCUCUCCCCUUUUGUGACAUGUCAGUGAUGUAAAGAUGAAGUAUCAAUGAUGUUGUAUGAACUGUAUUCUGGGAUAUGGUGGGAAGUUUUAAAAGCCAAUGUUGCCCCACGCUCUGGGUUCUUACUGCUGUUUGAACCUGUUGUGCAACAAUAAAGGAUCUAAGUCUGCUGUUUUGCUCCAAAUUACUUGGCUGGAAUUUCCUUCUUUUACUGACCGCAUGGACCCGCGGGGGACGUGGACCCCAACGAGCUGGGCUGUUGAGUAGUCUCUCACCCCAGAAUUUUCCUUAACAAGUGGAUAGUCCCAAGUAAUAGGAAUAGCAGUAGUAGUAAUAAUAAUAAUAAGUAUAAAUAUAAGUAUACUGCCUAUAUCAGGGCGGUUCACAACAUAAAAUUACAAGACAAAAACCACAAGAUUCAUAACAAAUACAUAAGUAAUUGCUAAAAACUGGAAAAAAGAAACUGUUCUAACAAAAAAGGAAUGGCAAGACAAACUGUUAGAGUAUAUUGAACUGGCUAGAUUAACAGAGGCAUUUAGAGGUCACACUAGACAAGAGUUUCAAAAAGCAUGGGGGAAAUGCAGAGAAUACUUCACAAAACAGUGCCCUAAAAUACAUACCUGGACUUGUUUCGAUUAAUGUCUGCAGGAAACUUUGUGGAUGUUUAAGUUAUAAUUAGAAAAAUAUUAAUAAUUAUUCAUAAAGGAAACAGCUUAUAAGAAGUAAAGAAGGAGGCCAGAUACAGAAUAAAGGAAGUCUUUUAUUUCGUUGUUUGUAUUGUUGUAUGUUAUGCUCACUGUAUGUUAUGUUCACGUUUAAUGAGGGUGGAUUGUGUAUGGGGUGGGGGGGUGAUGAUAUGUUGUAAAUAAAAUUCCAAUAAAAUUAAAACAAAAACAAAGACAACCCAAUAAUCCCCACUUCCAUAACACAUUUUAAAAGGGCAUUGGAUGUCAAUUAACCAACGGCCUGGUUAAAGAGGAACGUUUUCGCCUGGCGCCUGAAGGUGUACAAUGAAGGCACCAGCCAUGGGCGUAGCCAGGAUUUUUGUUGGGGGGGGGCAGGCCUUUUGUUAGCAGGGGAAGAACCUCAGUUUGCUUUGUAUUUUUAUUGGUUUAGGGGGAGGCAGCUGCCUCUCCCUGCCCCCCCCAGCUACAAUCAUGGCGCCAGCCGAACCUCCCUAGAGAGAGCAUUCCCCAAACGGGGAGCCACUGCAGAAAAGGCCUAUUCUCAUGUUGCCAACCUGUGGCCCUCUCCUGGAGGAGGUACAUGACCAAGUGCCUCGGAGGAUGAUCUCAGGGUCCAGGUAGGUUCAUAUGGAGAAAGGCAGUGCUUUUCUUUUGGGGGGGGAGGGCUGCAUACCCUUGCAUACUGCCAGAUAAAAAACACUGGAGAGAGGUAUGGUGGUCCUGAGACGUUAAUAUGAGAGAGGAUGAAGAGAGUUUCUCUAUCUACUUUCUCCACACUAUGCCUAAGAGCCAGUGUGGUGUAGUGGUUAAGAGUGGUAGACUCGUAAUCUGGUGAACCGGGUUCGAUUCCCCGCUCCUCCACAUGCAGCUGCUGGGUGACCUUGGGCCAGUCACACGUCUCUGAAGUCUCUCAGCCCCACUCACCUCACAGAGUGUUUGUUGUGGGGGAAGAAGGGAAAGGAGAUUGUUAGCUGCUUUGAGACUCCUUUGGGUAGUGAUAAAGCGG
rnacentral:lncRNA from 1 species